GCCGGGCGCCGUGGCUGGCGCCUGUGAUCCCAGCUCCCGGGGGGGCUGAGGCCGGCGGGUCGGUGGAGCCGGGGUUCUAGGCUGCGGCGGGCGGUGCCGAGCGGGUGUCCGCACUAAGCUCGGCAGCGAUAUGGUGAUCCCUGGGGAGCUUGGGGUCACCAGGUUGCCUAAGGAGGGGUGAACCGGCCCAGGUCGGAAACGGAGCAGGUCAAAACCCCCCUGCCGAGCCCUAGUGGGAUCGCGCCUGUGAAUAGUCCCUGCAGCCUAGCCUGGGCAAGGCGCUGAGACGCGGCCUCUU
rnacentral:SRP_RNA from 1 species